AAAACAUGGUAAGGUUCUGGUUUCCCCCAGAAAGUCCUUACUCUCUCUGGCUCUUUUAUCACCCUCCCCGCCUGUCUAAUGCUUCAUUGAUUCCCUUCUGGCUUCUACCCAAAUGAUCAAAAUGGCUGCCCAGUCGCAAGCACACUCCCGAGUCCCAGACGACACUGUUUACUACGCUAUCUUCCCGGACUCCUCUUCCCUCUCUAAUCCCUCCGCUUCCUCUCAAUCCCUCCACCUCUACCUCCAAAUCCUUGACUUCAUUUCUCCUUACACCUCCUCCUACAUCUGGCAACACGAACCCUUCUCUCUUUCCCUCUCCUCCUCCUCCUCUCCCCCUCUCCCUCACCUCCACGGCAAGCUCCGCUUUGGCGACAACAUUGAAGAUGAGUGGUUCACUGUUUUCCUUCUCUUCCAAAUCUCUCACCACUUCCCUUCUCUCUCCAUUCGAGUCUGGGACAACGAUGGUGAAUUUCUCCUCAUUGAAGCUGCCUUUCAUCUCCCUCGUUGGAUUAACCCCGAAACCAGUGAUAACCGUGUGUUUAUUCGCCGCGGUGACAUCCAUAUUGUUCCGAAAAGCCGGUUACCCAACCCGAAGUUGAUCGAUUCCUUGAAGUUCUUGAUAGACUGUGAGGGUGAGUCACGUGCGGCGGAGUCUGUUCAGAUUGCGGUGAAGGGUCGGAUUUCUGAUUAUCCAGAAAGAGCGAGGCGAAAUAUGCAUCAAGCUAGGGUUAGGGUUCCGGUAUCGGUGGCACAGGUCUUAAAGCAGGAGCCGUGCUUGAUUUCUUUGGCGGUGGAGGGGUUUUAUGAUAGGGAUAUUGAUACAAUGAAGUAUGCGGCAAAAAUGGAGAAAUUUCUUAGUAAAGGGAAAGAGGAGGAGUUGGUUUGUGUGGUGAUAAAAAUGUCUAGAGCUAUGUAUGCUCAGUUAAUGCAGCAGAAGUUUCAGGCACCCAAGUGCUAUCGUAUGCCAAAUCGAGGAGAUGACGUGGGUGCGUAUCUGGAGGCGGAGUUAGGUAUGAAGAUUGCUUGUGGGUUCGAGAUGAUGUAUCAACAGAGGAAGAGGGAAGGAGAGGAGGGUAAAGGGAGCACGUGGUUGAAGUACAAGGAGAGUUUGGAGAGGAGUGGGUAUUUUGAAGGAUUUUUGCCAGGUUCGAAGGAUUACAAGAGGUUGAUGGAGAAUGCUGAGGGGUAUUACCGAAAUAGUACCUUGUUUUCGAGGACCAGUCAAAUGAUGAGUGCUCCAGUGAAACGGAUUGAUGAGAUUCUUGCUUUACCACACUCAGCUGAUGAUUUUAGUUGCCAGGAGGUUCCACCUUCUGAUGAUGAUUCUUGGCUGUAUAGUGGAGAAGAUGAGUUGAAUGCUGCUCUACAACAGAGACAAAACGAGAUGGAUCUCUACAACGCCAAACAUAAAAAGAAACAGAUGCCAAAAGAGUCACAAGAUGCUGGUCCUUCAUCCAGUAGUAAUUUUGAUGAUUUUGAUCUUGGUGAAAUGGCAAAAGCUAUGCAAGCAUUCGUGGAUAAAGCAUCAAGUUACAAGGGAGCAGAGGUUCCAGAAAACAGGAAUAUGAAAGAGGUGGACCUUGAUGUGGAGUGUUUUCUAAAUGACAUGGAAUCAGUAAUGAAGCGCUAUGGCCCUAAAGACGGUGCUGCCGAUGUUGAUUCUGAAGAAGCAUCCUCAUCUGACAUGGAUUUUGAUGAGUCUGAAGAUGAGAGUGAUAUUAUGGAAGCUUCUGAGGAUAAUGUGGACGGGGAGGACACUUUCAUGAACACUUAUUCUGAUGCUCUGAAUGAGGAACUGAAGAACACCACCCUUAAGAAAAGUUUUGUUCGUACAGAUGACCAAUUGCCCAAGAAAAACGAGGAGACAUCAAAUGCCAUGGAGGGCAUGGAUGAAGAAUUUACUCCCGUGGAUGUUGAUGUUAACCUGGUGAAGAGCCUGCUUGAUUCGUAUUCAUCUCAACAAGGACAACCUGGCCCCACUUCCAAUUUGCUGGGGCUCAUGGGUCUACAGCUCCCUCAAGAUACUACUAAGGGCAAAUGAAGCCGUUACAUCUUCUCCCCUCAUCUCAUAGUUCUUGUGCACUGGGGUUCAUGAUUUUGCGAGUUUGUGUUUAGCCUGACUACGAUUGAUACUUCUGAAUCGGAUUAUGGAUGAGGUGGUGGAUGCGAUUUUAGGACAGGAAUUGAAUUUACAUGAAACAGACCUGAAAACCAGCGAAAUUGCCUAGAGUGGGGUGCGGUAUGGUCUGCCUGCGGUAGCACAUUUAUUGUUGAAAAGGCUUGCCUUCUACUAGUCUCUCUCUUCCAUGUGGUCGCAUCUCAUGUCUGUAUUCGGUAAAGGUGAAGACAUUGAGAAGUAAUUCACCUGCCAUUUGUCAUUAUAUAAUGAGCUGGAGGAGUUCUGAAGGCAAGAUGACGAAAGAUACCACCUCAUCACUGAGCGAAUGGGUUUUUACCCCAUGGCUAACAAAUCAUAAUGAUGUUUUCGUUGGAGAAAUUGUGCUAUUAGCAUACAUAAUUAAAAAAAUUAAAGAAUUGAUAUAAUAACAAAAAGUUUUGUUAAAA